UACGGAGGUGGCAAGCGUUACUCGGAUUUAUUGGGUGUAAAGGGCAGGUAGGCGUCUUGGUAAGUCCUGGGUGAAAUCCUUCUGCUCAACAGAAGAACUGCCUAGGAAACUAUCGAGAUUGAGGCUAGAAGAGGAGAGUGGAAUUCCCGGUGUAAGGGUGAAAUCUGUAGAUAUCGGGAGGAACACCAGUAGCGAAGGCGACUCUCUGGUCUAGACCUGACGCUAAGCUGCGAAAGCUAGGGGAGCAAACAGGAUUAGAUACCCGCGUA
rnacentral:rRNA from 1 species